CCAAAUGAAUUGGAAUUGGAAUUGGAUCUGCUCCCUCUCCGGCGCCGCUUCGCCGUCAGAUUUUUUAUCCUUAUUGAGAGAGAGAGAGCUGAUUCGCUUCGAAAAGUCUAGACGCUUCUUCUUCCAUCGACUUCCUCUCUUGCUUACUUAGCUCUCCCGAUUGCAACAAAUUGGUAGCUCUGACUGAGCACAAAUUGCUGAUCUGUGGAGUGAUGUGAAGUGAAGGACCUAAGGGGGAAGUACUGUGUAGGUUUGCUUCUCUCAAGUUUGCCUUUAUAGAGCAUUGAUUGAAUCUCUUUCUCAGCCUAGCUGCUGGUUUUUCGCCGAUUAUGGCGUGGCUAUGCCUUUUCGACGAGAUUACAUUGUUCUAGUUCGUUCCUUUCAUGACUCUGUAUUGUCUAAGUGCGUGAUUCCCUCACGGAGUCUAAGUGCUGUAACAGUGCUGUAUGUUGUUGGUGGAUCUUUUGCACAUCUUGUGAGAUUGAUAUCGUUAUUACUAGUUGCGUUGAAUUUUAUAGAACUUGUUUAUGCCUCACAGAUUUCUGUCUGAGGUUUCUUCGACAGACCUUAAUGCAGUUCUCUGUAUGUUUGCCUGUGGAGAAUCUGAAUAUUUGCCGCUUAGGCCACGCUGGGGUGGUGGAUUCGUCGCGUCAUUAUGUAUGUAGUGUGUGGAGUGCAUGUCCAGUUCAGGUCGUUAUGAACUACUGCGGUGAAUAGGGACGGUGAGCUUGACACUGUCUAUCUCUGAAGGAUAAUCGAGAGCGAUCUCUACUUUCUGAGAAUGUAGAGAACUGGGAGGUCUUAGGUUAGACCUUUCUAGGUCACGUACGACCUUGAAAGGUAUAACUACAACAGGCGGAUUCUGGUUAGGCCCUUUUUCAUUUCUCUCAAGCUCAGUGAUGGAAGGGUUCAAUUGAACUCAACGCUUAACAUCCGAAUCUCAAUACAUUGGGGAAAAUUUAGCCGCAUGAGAGCUUGAAAAAUGGAUUACCCGAGCGCCGUCAGUCAAGCUCACUAUAUUCUUGUUCAGUUUUUUAUUUUCAAAGUGAAGAAAUUGCCGCUUGAAAUAGGUAUGAAAUAGCAAGAGUUUGACAUCCUUCUCGGUGGGGAAUGGCUCAUUUCUAAUCAGCAAAUAUCGCCCAUGAAAAAGUUCUUGCGCCGAGCCUGCAGACGCCAUAUGUGUGAUUUGUGUAUGCUAGAUAGUCCCUAACAUUUGAAUUUUGGAUGUACCAGUGACUACCAUAUAAAUUACAUUCAAGUAAUCUUCAAAAAUGUCAA